rnacentral:rRNA from 1 species
UCUACGGGAGGCAGCAGUGGGGAAUAUUGCGCAAUGGGCGAAAGCCUGACGCAGCGACGCCGCAUGAGGGAUGAAGGUCUUCGGAUCGUAAACCUCUGUCAGCAGGGAAGAACGGUCACUGUGCUAAUCAGCAGUGAAUUGACGGUACCUGCAAAGGAAGCACCGGCUAACUCCGUGCCAGCAGCCGCGGUAAUACGGAGGGGUGGAGCGUUAAUCGGAAUUACUGGGCGUAAAGCGCUCGUAGGCGGUAGGUCAAGUCAAGGGUGAAAGCCCCGCGUUCAAAGUGGGAACUGCCUUGGAACUUGGCAAACUGGAGUGUGUGAGCGGAUGGUGGAAUUCCAGGUGUAGGAGUGAAAUCCG